CGACGAUAAUACCAAUUAUAAGUAUAGCAUUUCAUUUAUUUGAAUUUCAUCGUCACGUUUAGUUGUCGUUCCUACAAUUUCAACAGUCAGUCUUGAUUUUCAUACAGCCCCAACAGGUAAAGUUUCUGUUUUUUUUUUUUUUUAAAUUUCUUUAGAAAAAUCAAUAUAAAAGUCACCAACAACUAUUUUGAAUUUUUAAAUAACUAUUAUUACGCACUCUUGGUCGUAUCUCAUAAGUAACCUAUUGUGUUUGGCGUAAUUAUGUAUAAUUAUUAAUUAAAAACUAUUACUAACAGUCCAUUAUUUAUUUGUUUAGCAUUGAUCAUAAAUAAUAUGAUAAGACGUCCGUCGUCGGCUAGAUGGUAUGCGCAAUAUCCGUCGUUUGUACCGUUGUCUUUAAUAUUUGUAAAAAAUA